rnacentral:rRNA from 1 species
AUGAACGCUGACAGAAUGCUUAACACAUGCAAGUCAACUUGAAUUUGGGUUUUUAACUUAGGUUUGGGUGGCGGACGGGUGAGUAACGCGUAAAGAACUUGCCUCACAGCUAGGGACAACAUUUGGAAACGAAUGCUAAUACCUAAUAUUAUGAUAAUAGGGCAUCCUAUAAUUAUGAAAGCUAUAAGCGCUGUGAGAGAGCUUUGCGUCCCAUUAGCUAGUUGGAGAGGUAACGGCUCACCAAGGCGAUGAUGGGUAGCCGGCCUGAGAGGGUGAUCGGCCACAAGGGGACUGAGACACGGCCCUUACUCCUACGGGAGGCAGCAGUGGGGAAUAUUGGACAAUGGACCGAGAGUCUGAUCCAGCAAUUCUGUGUGCACGAUGAAGUUUUUCGGAAUGUAAAGUGCUUUCAGUUGGGAAGAAACAAAUGACGGUACCAACAGAAGAAGUGACGGCUAAAUACGU